rnacentral:misc_RNA from 1 species
GAAAUGCGAUAAUUAAUGUGAAUUGCAGAAUUCAGUGAAUCAUCGAGUCUUUGAACGCACAUUGCGCCCCCUGGUAUUCCGGGGGGCAUGCCUGUCCGAGCGUCAUUGCUGCCCUCAAGCACGGCUUGUGUGUUGGGCUUCCGUCCCUGGCAACGGGGACGGGCCCAAAAGGCAGUGGCGGCACCAUGUCUGGUCCUCGAGCGUAUGGGGCUUUGUCACCCGCUCCCGUAGGUCCAGCUGGCAGCUAGCCUCGCAACCAAUCUUUUUAACCAGCUUGACCUCGGAUCAGGUAGGGAUACCCGCUGAACUUAAGC